rnacentral:misc_RNA from 1 species
UAAGCUCACUACAUCAGCUUUGUUGGUGUCGUGGACUUGGAUGCUGCCGUGUUACGACGGCUCAUCUGAAAUAUCUGAGUGCAUCCUGAUUUGUGGUGUGUUCGGUGUGAUAAAUCUUCACCGAGUUGACCUCUGGUCACACCCACUUGACACGGCUCUGUGCUUCCAACCGUCUCCCAUGAGAGACAGCUCUUGACA